UGCUACCGGGUCAUUUUGCAUAGU
rnacentral:piRNA from 1 species